AGAUUGAACGCUGGCGGCAGGCCUAACACAUGCAAGUCGAGCGGUAGAGAGGUGCUUGCAUCUCUUGAGAGCGGCGGACGGGUGAGUAAUGCCUAGGAAUCUGCCUAGUGGUGGGGGAUAACGUUCGGAAACGGACGCUAAUACCGCAUACGUCCUACGGGAGAAAGCGGGGGACCUUCGGGCCUCGCGCCAUUAGAUGAGCCUAGGUCGGAUUAGCUAGUUGGUGAGGUAAUGGCUCACCAAGGCGACGAUCCGUAACUGGUCUGAGAGGGUGAUCAGUCACACUGAACUGAGACACGGUCCAGACUCCUAGGGAGCAGCAGGUGGGAAUA
rnacentral:rRNA from 1 species